rnacentral:pre_miRNA from 1 species
AGAGUGGAACGUAGCCAGGAAUGAUUUGCCGAUGUCUAUAUGUAUAGCUGCAAAAAAUUGUGCUUGCAAUUGCUUUCAAAUGGCAAGUUAUUCUUGGCUAUGUUCGACUCUCU